CCCUUAGAUGUUCUGGGCCGCACGCGCGCUACACUGACGAAUGCAACGAGCUUAUAACCUUGGCCGAAAGGUCUGGGUAAUCUCCAAAUUUCGUCGUGAUGGGGAUAGAUUAUUGCAAUUAUUAAUCUUCAACGAGGAAUGCCUAGUAAGCGCAAGUCAUCAGCUUGCGUUGAUUACGUCCCUGCCCUUUGUACACACCGCCCGUCGCUCCUACCGAUUGAAUGGUCCGGUGAAGCGCUCGGACCGCGGCCUCUUGACGGUUCGCUGUCGAUUGGCUGUGGGAAGUUCGUUAAACCUGAUCAUUUAGAGGAAGGAGAAGUCGUAACA
rnacentral:rRNA from 1 species